GUUCUCUCUCACCGGCGAUAUCAAAGGCGAUUCGAAUUCCCACUAUUUCCAAACAACCAUCGUUCUCAACAUCGGCUAUCUAUCUCACUUCAUUCUCACCGUUGUCGCCGCAGCUUCUUCUAACCCUAGCGCCGCCGAUUCCUCUAAACCCUAGCACCCCCGCUUCCACUAUUUCCGAACAAACCGUCGCCCUCGCCACCGUGCUCACCAACGUUCUCACCGCCGCUUCCUCUAAACACUAGCUAGCACCACCGCUUCUUCUAAACCCUAGCGCCGCCGCUUCUUCUCUGUAAACCGUAGCGCCGUUUCUCUGUAAACCCUAACGCCGAUCUAUAACCACAAUGACGAGUACUCCAACUCCUUCUGCGACUAAUCAGACAAAAAGGAUGGAUAUUCCAGAACUCCCCCGUAGGUUAUACACAUUAGGGGAAGAGCCAGAACCCCACAAUAGCAUUUCGUAUCAUACGGAUAACAAGAAGUUGCAUACUGCUCUUAGGGAAGCUCUCACUGAUGCUGAAUUUGAAGAGCUCAAGGAGUCGAGAUUGGGAGUUUUCAUCAA